GACGAACGCUGGCGGCGUGCUUAACACAUGCAAGUCGAACGGAAAGGCCUGCUUUGCCUUUUGGAUUGCGGGUACUCGGGUGGCUAACGGGUAAGUAACUCGCUAGUAAUCUGCCCCCAAGUUGGGUAUAAGCCUGGGAAACUGCGUCUAAUUCCCGAGAGGACGGCAGGGUGGUUCCUGUGGUGGGAUACGAUUUUCUAGUGGGUCGGGAUGGGCUGGGGGCGGAUUAGCUAGUUGGGGGGGGAAAGGCCGACCAGGGCGACGACGGGUAACCGGACGGGGAGGGUGAGCAGUGACACGGGAACUGAGACACGGUCCAGACUCCUACGGGAGGCAGCAGUGGGGAAUAUUGGACAAUGGGCGAAAGCCUGAUCCAGCCAUGCCGCGUGUGUGAAGAAGGUCUUCGGAUUGUAAAGCACUUUAAGUUGGGAGGAAGGGCAGUAAGUUAAUACCUUGCUGUUUUGACGUUACCAACAGAAUAAGCACCGGCUAACUUCGUG
rnacentral:rRNA from 1 species